CACAUGCAAGUCGAACGGUAACAGGUCUUCGGACGCUGACGAGUGGCGAACGGGUGAGUAAUACAUCGGAACGUGCCCAGUCGUGGGGGAUAACUACUCGAAAGAGUAGCUAAUACCGCAUACGAUCUGAGGAUGAAAGCGGGGGACCUUCGGGCCUCGCGCGAUUGGAGCGGCCGAUGGCAGAUUAGGUAGUUGGUGGGAUAAAAGCUUACCAAGCCGACGAUCUGUAGCUGGUCUGAGAGGUCGACCAGCCACACUGGGACUGAGACACGGACCAGACUCCUACGGGAGGCAGCAGUGGGGAAUUUUGGACAAUGGGCGAAAGCCUGAUCCAGCAAUGCCGCGUGCAGGAUGAAGGCCUUCGGGUUGUAAACUGCUUUUGUACGGAACGAAAAAGCUCCUUCUAAUACAGGGGGCCCAUGACGGUACCGUAAGAAUAAGCACCGGCUAACUACGUGCCAGCAGCCGCGGUAAUACGUAGGGUGCGAGCGUUAAUCGGAAUUACUGGGCGUAAAGCGUGCGCAGGCGGUUAUGUAAGACAGAUGU
rnacentral:rRNA from 1 species